rnacentral:rRNA from 1 species
UACGUAGGGUGCGAGUGUUGUCCGGAAUUAUUGGGCGUAAAGGGCUCGUAGGCGGUCUGUCGCGUCGGGAGUGAAAACUCAGGGCUUAACCCUGAGCCUGCUUCCGAUACGGGCAGACUAGAGGUAUGCAGGGGAGAACGGAAUUCCUGGUGUAGCGGUGAAAUGCGCAGAUAUCAGGAGGAACACCGGUGGCGAAGGCGGGUCUCUGGGCCGUAACUGACGCUGAGGAGCGAAAGCAUGGGGAGCGAACAGG